rnacentral:tRNA from 1 species
AGGAUAAUAGUUAAAUUAACAGUUAAUUUGCAAUUAAAAAAUAUUGAAUCUCAAUUUAUCUU